GGGCGGUUAACUCAGUUGGUUCAGAGUUCCUGGUUUACACCCAGGCGGUCGCAGGUUCGAGUCCUGCACCGCCCA
rnacentral:tRNA from 2 species